UACGUAGGUGACAAGCGUUGUCCGGAUUUACUGGGCGUAAAGAGCGCGCAGGCGGUCGAUCAAGUCGAGUGUGAAAGCCCCCGGCUCAACUGGGGAGGGUCAUUCGAUACUGAUCGACUCGAAGGCAGGAGAGGGUAGUGGAAUUCCCGGUGUAGUGGUGAAAUGCGUAGAUAUCGGGAGGAACACCAGUGGCGAAGGCGGCUGACUGGACCCAUAUUGACGCUGAGGCUCGAAAGCAUGGGGAGCAAACAGG
rnacentral:rRNA from 1 species